UACGAAGGGUGCAAGCGUUACUCGGAAUUAUUGGGCGUAAAGAGCUCGUAGGCGGUUUGUUGCGUCGGCUGUGAAAUCCCGAGGCUCAACCUCGGGUCUGCAGUCGAUACGAGCAAACUAGAGUGUUGCAGGGGAGACUGGAAUUCCUGGUGUAGCGGUGAAAUGCGCAGAUAUCAGGAGGAACACCGGUGGCGAAGGCGGGUCUCUGGGCAACAACUGACGCUGAGGAGCGAAAGCGUGGGGAGCGAACAGG
rnacentral:rRNA from 1 species